UACGUAGGGUGCAAGCGUUAAUCGGAAUUACUGGGCGUAAAGCGUGCGCAGGCGGCUAUGCAAGACAGAUGUGAAAUCCCCGGGCUUAACUUGGGAAUUGCGCUCGAAACUACUUGGCUGGAGUGUGGCAGAGGAAGGUGGAAUUCCACGUGUAGCGGUGAAAUGCGUAGAGAUGUGGAGGAACACCGAUGGCGAAGGCAGCCUUCUGGGCCAACACUGACGCUCAUGCACGAAAGCGUGGGGAGCAAACAGG
rnacentral:rRNA from 1 species